rnacentral:tRNA from 1 species
AAAGCUGUAGCCAAAAGGUAAAGGCAGCCUCGGUAAGACGAAGGCUUAUUUGAGGGUUCGACUCCCUCCAGCUUUA